CCUGCAACACCUGAAGCAUCGCAAGCGUAUUGCCUACCCUACCCUUGACCCUCUCCAGGAGCUCUGGCCGGAGUAAGUAAGGUACCACACUCAAGCUCAUUCAGUAUUUAAAAGAAAUCAAGACUGUUUAAAAAGUAAUAAAAACUGUUUUCAAAAUAUUCAAAUAAAUAUAGAUAUUAAUGAAUUAAAUAUAUUAAACCUUAUAAGAAGAAAA
rnacentral:misc_RNA from 1 species